CAUUAGUUUAUUAUUCGUUUCUUUAAGUAAUGCAAUAAAUUUGUGGUCAAUAAAAAAUUACUUUAUAAACAUUAUACACUAUAAAAGUUAUUAAAUGCAAAAAGGGCGUUAUUUCUGAUAUGUGUGUGUGUGUGUGUGUAUAUAUAUAUAUAUA